rnacentral:rRNA from 1 species
AUUGAACGCUGGCGGCAGGCCUAACACAUGCAAGUCGAGCGGAGCGGCGGACGGGUGAGUAAUGCCUAGGAAUCUGCCUGGUCGUGGGGGAUAACGUCCGGAAACGGGCGCUAAUACCGCAUACUAUCAGAUGAGCCUAGGUCGGAUUAGCUAGUUGGUGGGGUAAAGGCCUAAAAAGGCGACGAUCCGUAACUGGUCUGAGAGGAUGAUCAGUCACACGGGAACGGGGACACGGUCAAGACUCCUACGGGAGGCAGCAGUGGGGAAUAUUGGACAAUGGGCGAAAGCCUGAUCAAGCAAGGCAGGGUGUGUGAAGAGGGUCUUGGGUUUGUAAGGCACUGUAGGUUGGGAGGCGGUACCAAAAGAAAAAGCACCGGCUAACUUCGUGCCAGAAGCCGCGGUAAUUC